rnacentral:lncRNA from 1 species
AGGGAGCUAAGUAUACUUCCAGUAUGUAGUGGAGGUGGUCCAGGGAGCUGAGUAUACUUCCAGUAUGUAGUGGAGGUGGUUCUGGGAGCUGAGUAUACUUCCAGUAUGUAGUGGAGGUGGUCCAGGGAGCUAAGUAUACUUCCAGUAUGUAGUGGAGGUGGUCCUGGGAGCUGAGGAUACUUCCAGUAUGUAGUGGAGGUGGUCCUGGGAGCUGAGUAUACUUCCAGUAUGUAGUGGAGGUGGUCCUGGGAGCUGAGUAUACUUCCAGUAUGUAGUGGAGCUGGUCCUGGGAGCUGAGUAUACUUCCAGUAUGUAGUGGAGGUGGUCCUGGGAGCUGGG